rnacentral:snRNA from 1 species
UUUUUCACAACUUUUUUUUGAAU